rnacentral:rRNA from 1 species
GACGAACGCUGGCGGCGUGCUUAACACAUGCAAGUCGAACGGAAAGGCCCUGCUUUUGUGGGGUGCUCGAGUGGCGAACGGGUGAGUAACACGUGAGUAACCUGCCCUUGACUUUGGGAUAACUUCAGGAAACUGGGGCUAAUACCGGAUAGGAGCUCCUGCUGCAUGGUGGGGGUUGGAAAGUUUCGGCGGCUGGGGAUGGACUCGCGGCUUAUCAGCUUGUUGGUGGGGUAGUGGCUUACCAAGGCUUUGACGGGUAGCCGGCCUGAGAGAGUGACCGGCCACAUUGGGACAGAGAUACGGCCCAGACUCCUACGGGAGGCAGAAGUGGGGAAUAUUGCACAAUGGGCGGAAGCCUGAUGCAGCAACGCCGCGUGCGGGAUGACGGCCUUCGGGUUGUAAACCGCUUUCGCCUGUGACGAAGCGUGAGGGACGGUAAUGGGUAAAGAAGCACCGGCUAACUACGU